CAAUCUAGUGGCGAACGGGUGAGUAACACGUGGUAACCUGCCCAUCAGAGGGGGAUAACAUUCGGAAACGGAUGCUAAAACCGCAUAGGUUCUUUAGUCGCAUGACUGAAGAAGGAAAAGAGGCUUCGGCUUCUGCUGAUGGAUGGACCCCGGUGCAUUAGCUAGUUGGUGAGGUAACGGCUCACCAAGGCCGUGAUGCAUAGCCGACCUGAGAGGGUGAUCGGCCACAUUGGGAUGAGACACGGCCCAAACUCCUACGGGAGGCAGCAGUAGGGAAUCUUCCGCAAUGGACGCAAGUCUGACGGAGCAACGCCGCGUGAGUGAAGAAGGAUUUCGGUUCGUAAAACUCUGUUGUUAGAGAAGAACAGCGCAUAGAGUAACUGUUAUGCGAUGACGGAUCUAACCA
rnacentral:rRNA from 1 species